GAUGAACGCUGGCGGCGUGCCUAAUACAUGCAAGUCGAGCGAACAGACGAGGAGCUUGCUCCUCUGACGUUAGCGGCGGACGGGUGAGUAACACGUGGAUAACCUACCUAUAAGACUGGGAUAACUUCGGGAAACCGGAGCUAAUACCGGAUAAUAUAUUGAACCGCAUGGUUCAAUAGUGAAAGACGGUUUUGCUGUCACUUAUAGAUGGAUCCGCGCCGCAUUAGCUAGUUGGUAAGGUAACGGCUUACCAAGGCAACGAUGCGUAGCCGACCUGAGAGGGUGAUCGGCCACACUGGAACUGAGACACGGUCCAGACUCCUACGGGAGGCAUCAGUAGGGAAUCUUCCGCAAUGGGCGAAAGCUUGACGGAGCAACGCCGCGUGAGUGAUGAAGGUCUUCGGAUCGUAAAACUCUGUUAUUAGGGAAGAACAAAUGUGUAAGUAACUAUGCACGUCUUGACGGUACCUAAUCAGAAAGCUACGGCUAACUACGUG
rnacentral:rRNA from 1 species